CUGACGAGCGGCGGACGGGUGAGUAAUGCUUAGGAAUCUGCCCAGUAGUGGGGGAUAGCCCGGGGAAACCCGGAUUAAUACCGCAUACGUCCUACGGGAGAAAGCAGGGGAUCUUCGGACCUUGCGCUAUUGGAUGAGCCUAAGUCGGAUUAGCUAGUUGGUGGGGUAAAGGCCUACCAAGGCGACGAUCCGUAGCUGGUCUGAGAGGAUGAUCAGCCACAUCGGGACUGAGACACGGCCCGAACUCCUACGGGAGGCAGCAGUGGGGAAUAUUGGACAAUGGGGGCAACCCUGAUCCAGCCAUGCCGCGUGUGUGAAGAAGGCUUUCGGGUUGUAAAGCACUUUCAGUAGGGAGGAAAACCUUAUGGUUAAUACCCAUGAGGCUUGACGUUACCUACAGAAGAAGCACCGGCUAACUCCGUGCCAGCAGCCGCGGUAAUACGGAGGGUGCAAGCGUUAAUCGGAAUUACUGGGCGUAAAGCGCGCGUAGGUGGUUUGGUAAGCGAGAUGUGAAAGCCCCGGGCUUAACCUGGGAACGGCAUUUCGAACUGUCAGACUAGAGUGUGGUAGAGGGUAGUGGAAUUUCCUGUGUAGCGGUGAAAUGCGUAGAUAUAGGAAGGAACACCAGUGGCGAAGGCGGCUACCUGGACC
rnacentral:rRNA from 1 species